rnacentral:tRNA from 1 species
GACGGUGUGGCGCAAUUGGCAGUCGCGGAACACUCAAAAUGUUCUUGUUGAGAGUUCGAAUCUUUCCACCGUCACCA